rnacentral:rRNA from 1 species
UACGUAGGGUGCGAGCGUUAAUCGGAAUUACUGGGCGUAAAGCGUGCGCAGGCGGCGCGUUAAGACAGGUGUGAAAGCCCCGAGCUUAACUUGGGAAUUGCGCUUGUGACUGGCGUGCUGGAGUGUGGCAGAGGGAGGUGGAAUUCCACGUGUAGCAGUGAAAUGCGUAGAGAUGUGGAGGAACACCGAUGGCGAAGGCAGCCUCCUGGGCCAGCACUGACGCUCAUGCACGAAAGCGUGGGGAGCGAA